rnacentral:tRNA from 2 species
UUAAUUGAAACCAAAAAGAGGUAAAUUAUUGUUAAUAAUUUUAUUGAAAUAAAUUUCCAAUUAAA